UUCGUCAUUUUAUUCAUUUAGCGAAUUCAAGUCCGCGUGCAAAAUGCACGUCAGGAACCCAGGGGCCACAUAGUCAAAGAUUACACUUGACUCGACAUUGGGAGCUUCACGUUUCUUUAAUCUACAGUAUUUUGCAUCUCGUUGAAAAAUCUACUGUAUUUUGCAUCUCGUUAAAAAAUCUACUGUAUUUUGCAUCUAUACGGCUGUAGUACCAUUCAUCCCUUUCCCCAUUCUCAUUCUCCUCCUGUUCCUUACCUGAUCUAAGGAUUCAUCCACAAUACGUUGCUAGAUCUUGCUAAGAAAAGAGGACAGGGGAGAAGUGGGAUUUGGGGUGGAGUGCGGUGGCUCCAGGCUCCCGGCGGCGGCAUGUCAUCCAGCUCGACCACACGUGCCUGCAGCUCGCCGCCGUCAUCGAUUGGAUGGCCAUGGAGUUGGGUCCACUUGAACAUGAGGGGUGGCACUCCUCUAGAAAUUUUCUGUUGGAGAGAAGGAUUUUUUGCCCCCAAGCAGCAAGGCUUCGAGGUCACCGGAGAAAAUAAGAGAUUCGUUUCACUGAGUGGCGUUGCUCUCCAGUUCGUGGCGCUGGCCUAGAGCUGUGUCGUCGGGUUGGACGGCCAUGUUCUUCAUAGUGUUCUAGGAUAUAACUUAUGUCACUUGCCAUUGAUGUGCCUUGCGUUGUUUUAGGGAAUCGAACCUAUUUUUUUAGUUGACAUUCUGCCCAACUUUGAUUAUUGUCUCUUCAAGACAACCGUAAUAAUUAUAUGAAGUUUCCUAUAGCAAAAAGUGUUCAAUAUUUGUUGGAUAAAAGGUGUGUUCUUUCUAUUUGUUGUUACCAUAUAUUAGCAACUUAUAUUAAUAAUAGGUGUAUUUAAGACAAAGAAAGAAGGCUUGCAUGUAUUCACUGACUUUGGCCCAUAUGUGUUAAUUGAUAUGCAAUAGAUUUUAGUUUUUUCA